CCAUCGUUCAUUUCAGUAAUCUUCCCAGUUACAAUUAUUCAGCUUUAGCAAUCAGUUCAACAAUCAAACAAAGCAACUUCAAGGUGAGUUUAUUCUUAAAUCUACCACUACUGCCAAAGUCUCCUUCAUUAGUUAAGCAAUGGCAGUUUCAAUUCAUUUCAGUUAUUGUACAAUACGUUCAACCUCCAACAACAAGCAAUCAGUUCAAACAUUUGAGGUCAAGCGCGAGAGUAAGAACUACACAAGGAGUUAGAGUACCUUAGCAAAACUUUGCUAUCAGGUUGAGCUGUGAUGGGCGAUGAAGUGUUGUUGCUGAGUGGAGUUUUUGUCGAACCUAAAGUAGGCUCAGAAAGGAUACAUGUCUUCAUACAUGUAUCUCAGUUAUGCUUUCCGCUGUAAACACUGAUUAUUUCAGUUACGCCUUCCGUUGCAAACUCUGAUAAAGUUUUACUCAAGCCUCUAACGAUGCCUUUUUCCUUUUAAGGAAUAUAACGCGUAUACAAGUUCUUUGAGUACCCUUUUUA